AUUGAACGCUGCGGCAGGCUUAACACAUGCAAGUCGAGCGAGCGGCGGACGGGUGAGUAAUGCUUAGGAAUCGGCCUAUUAGUGGGGGCCAACAUCUAGAACGGGAUGCAAAUCCCGCAUACUCAUAGAUGAGCCUAAGUCGGAUUAGCAUGUUGGUGGGGUAAAGGCCUACCAAGGCGCCGAUCUGGAGCGUGUCUGAGAGGAUGAUCCGCCACACUGGGACUGAGACACGGGCCAGACGCCUACGGGAGGCAGCAGUGGGGAAUAUUGGAGAAUGGGGGGAACCCUGUUCCAGACAUGCCGCGUGUGUGAGGAGGGCCUUAUGGUUGUAAAGCACGUUAAGCGAGGAGGCGUUACUCGCAGAAUAAGCACCGGCUAACUCCGUGCCAGCAGCCGCGGUAAUAC
rnacentral:rRNA from 1 species